rnacentral:lncRNA from 1 species
UUAUGUCCAAUUUGCCAGUACUGCAGUUUGUGUGUAGUGAGGUGUUUUCAUGGUGUUUUAUUGGUGCUUUUACUAAAGGAAGGCUUCUAUCAAAUUCUUCCAAAUGUUGUCAAACUGAGCUGUGUGAUGAAGUGAGUGUGACAGAAACACUCAGACUGUGUUUCUCUGCUUCAUCAAGUCAAAUCUGGUCCUCAGAGACUGAAUAAAGUCCUGUCCCACUAACAGCAGCUCCAACAGUCUGUUCACUGCUUUCUUCCUGUCAGUCUUCAUCUUUCUGCUGCGUCUCCUCUUCACACUGACCACUUUCUAUCUAACAGUGAGCUCCCAGUGAAGCAGCAGCAUUCAGCCUGUUAGAGUCAACACAAAUGUCUCCAUCCAAGCUCAUGUUGUGCUUUGUUGUCCUCUCAGUCCCCCAGGUGGAGGUGGAUUCAGGGGUGGAGUCUGUCCAGCUGCCCUUCAACACCACACUUCACCUGCCUGAAGACGCUAAAGUGGAGUGGAAGAAUAAUUACGAUACAAAAGUCCACAUGUAUGAGAACGGCUCUGACCAGCCUGAAGAACAGCACCAGUUUUACAGAGACCGAACGAAGAUGAAUGAAGACCUGCUGAAAACUGGAGACCUCAGUCUGACCCUGAAACACCCCACAGAAACAAAGACCUACACCUGCACCGUCUACAGCAGGGAGGGAAACAUCCUGCUGAAGAGAAAGGUGGAGCUGAAAGUCAGAGUCUGUCAGGUGGAGGUGGAGGAGGGGGCGGAGUCUGUCCAGCUGCCCUUCAAAACCACACAAAACCUGCCUGGAGAUGUUAGAGUGGUUUGGGAAUGCAAAGAGCCUGAACCAGUAAUGUUGGUCCAUGUAUAUGACAAUGGCUCUGACCAGCCUGAAGAACAGCACCAGGUUUACAGAGACAGAACGAAGAUGAACGAAGACCUGCUGAAAACUGGAGACCUCAGUCUGACCCUGAAACAGCCCACAGAGAGAGACAGUGGAGGAUAUGCAUGCUACGUUGUGAGGAAUCGAGCUGUGGUUCGAAGGAAGAGAGUGCAGCUCAAAGUCAAAGGGAGAGUUCAGGUUCAGGAUCAAACAGGGGACAUCAGGAACAGAAGCAGCUCCAUUGAUCCGACUCCUCUGAUGGCUGAUCAAUCAGUUUGAUCUGUGUGUUCUUUGAUUAUUGAUCAGUGAUGUCAGAGUGGAGUCAGUGUGAUGUUGUUGUUGUGUGUUUGAGACUUUUAGUGUCCAUGAAGGUCUCUGCUGCCGUAGAUCCUCUGAACUGUGACAGAGGUCUCACUCUGGAGGAAACUCUCAGCACUUUCCAGCAGCUCCUCCAUCAUGGAGGACGUUCCCUCACUGUAACAGGUGGAGGAGAGAGGAGAGGAAGCACAGGUGGAUCCUCUGAGGAAGAGGAGCGUUCCUACAAACCACAUGAUCACAUGACCAGAGGACAAGCAUGUGUAGAAACCUACAUCUGUCUCCAGCAGCUGUCUGAGCUGCAGUCUGUAUUGUGUGUGUAAUAUCUUCAUAUGUUUCUAAUAUUACAGUUUUAUCUUCAGGUGUAAAAUCAGCUGCUCUGCUGUCUUAUCCCCUGAUCCUGUGUGAUUGAUUAAUCCUGCAAACGCCACAAAUUUCAUUUCAGCUUUUAUUUGAAAGCUGAAACCUUGAAGGCUUUACAUGUGUUGGAUAUGAAUGUUUGGAGCCCAGAUCAUCAUUUGUCUUGUUUCAGUGGGAAUGUUUUUCUCCAUGUUGGCCUGAGGGUGGUGCUGUUUAGCCUGUACUGAGUAUUUGUCACUAUGCUGAGUUGUGGGUGGAGUCAGUGAUUGGCUGAAGGUGCCUUCUUUAAAGCGGGAACACUGGCUCAGCUUUCCUACCUCCUUACUCCCAGCUGGACCACGCUGCAUCAACAAGUGAUUGUCUGUGUGUGGAAGAGUGAUGCCAUUGUACACACUGUAAAUAUCUUCUUCUUCUUCAGCUGUGUGGGUGGAGAAGCUUUUCUGUUAGGGAGACGGUGUCCUUCUCACCUUCAGACAUGAGAUUAGAAAGAGAGAGAGUUCAGAUUACAGUGCAGAUAUGAAUGAAUGAAUCCGUGCUCGUCCUCACGGCUCCUGCAUGCUUUUAAAAAAGUGUGUGUUCAGCUCUGAUCUCCAAUCUGUUCUUUUCUCUCUUUGUUUCUUUCCUGGCUUCAUGAUCAUCAUCACACCGUCUGAGGCUCCUAAAUAUCCAUGUUUGCUUGUUUCACUCUCACAGUUGAACUCUGGGAGUCAAAGAUGUUUCAGCUCCAAACUCACUGAGAGCUCCUCGUGCCCACCACGUGACCAAAAACAUCUUUGUGCUCACGUGCUGCACGUGUCUGAGACACUUUAGUUUGAAGGAGACAAACUGCAGACGCAGCAUUUCCUGUUCCUGAGUGUAAACCUGAGCAUUUGAAAUGAGCUCCACAGGGGAAGCUGUAGGUGACAGAGAUACUCACAGACUCACUGACGUUACAGUCUGUUAGCAUCACGCAGUAUCACAGACACACGGGAAGAUUUAGUGCAAGUGCUGAGAGACACACAGCAGACAUAUUGACUGGAAACAUAUCAGACUGAAAUAAAGCAGAAGCACAUGUUAGCACAUGCUAAUAUGAUGUGGAUGUGUUUAGUGUGGGAGCAGGACUCACCUGAGACACACCUGUGUGGAUGAUGCUGCUUCCUGCUCUGCUCUUUCUGCUGAUUCAGCUUCUUCAUCACGUCUGAGGCUCUGUCACAGUUUGUUUGUCAACAUCAUCAUGGACACAACACAAGCACAUUUAUUUGACAUGUGAGUUUCUAUGAUUGUGAUUGAUGUGGAUGUAGAUGACAAAGAUGAUGAUAGAGAAGGGAUAUUGUACAUGUGUUCAGAUGAUGUAUGCAAACAGUCAUAACCUGGCUGUGACGUGUGUGGGGGAUUAAAAUUUUCCAAAAUGCAGUAAAUUAGGAUGACAGAAAUGAUGGCACCUCUGUUUUCACGUGAGCUAAAGCUACAGGUGUCACAUCAAACACUCACAGGGAAAACACCAAUCACAGCACGCACACAUAUACUGAACAUUACAGAGAGAAUUAUUAGAGAUCGACUCCGUUAUGAGCCUUCUUUUAAUAUCGAUGCCUGUUAAAAAUUUAUAACAGCCCUAAACAUGUCUUCAUUACAACAUGCAUCAGUCUAGUGUUUAUAAAUGAAUCUUUUUGUGCUACUGUCAGUAAUGCUGUAUAACGAGUUAAAGUGCUGCUAAAGUUAAACUCAGUGUGGUAUUUUCCAAAACUAUGGUGUCAUUGUGAUAGUUGCAGGCAAUGUUGGGUGUAACUGUAAUUAAAUUACUUUUCCACUGAAAAAGUAGAGUAACUAAUUACUAUUCAUUUUUAGGAAUUUUAAUUACAGUUACUUACAAUGUAUUUGUGUUACAUUGUAAAAUAAUUAAAUAAUAAAUAAAUAAAUAAUUAAACUCGCUGAAUAUCAUUAUUUAAGCAGGCAAAACUUGAUUUUACUUCAGCAGCACAGAAAGCGUCUGAAGGUGAGCUUAAAAAAUGAUUGCAGGCUACAUUGUGGAACAGAUGCUACCGCUGCGUACUGUAGAGUCUCCGUCUUUGAAAAAAAUUAUUUAUUAUUUAAAGAGUUUAAUUUCUAUUGUUUGUCCACUCAAGGUUUAUAGGGAUUUUAAGAAGUAUUUAGUUUAAUUACUUAUUUAGUAAUUAACUAACCCAAAACUGGUUGCAGGGCAUUGCGUUAAAAAAAAGUGUGUUGUACAGCUCUUUCC